GUCGCCACCACAAAGCAUCUCCUCUGAGAGCUCUCCAUGAGGCAAGAAGCAGGGGCUGCUCCAAAACUUCACUUCAGGAUUGUCUUUGGCUUCUUACUCUCUACAAAAUGUAUAGGUAGCACUUCAGCGCAGCUGAGGGUGAUUUCCUAUUCAGGGUUUAAGUGGAAAUUAGGCAGUAGCUAUUGAUCCACAGGGACUUGCAUUGCACUGGUCUGAACUAGGGAAAAAACCCUUCUUUCAUGUUAUUCAGGUGAUUCAAGUCAGCUGAGUUAACUAUUUCCACGAGAGAAGCUGAGCCCUUUCACCACGUGAUUAAUUUCCUCUUCUAUUUUGAUGGAGCUUGUUGACUUUUAUAACCUCAUUUACAAAAGCAGGCAGCAACCACAACUUUCAGUUGACUUCAGCAAGAGCAACUAAGUAUUAAGCUUUUCUAAAAAAAAAAAUAAUCAGACUGAUUUUUUUUGGCUCACACUACUAGAAAAUAUGAGUUAGUCCACAGAAUUGCCUAACGUAGGGAAUAUGAUGUAUAAAGAUCAGCAUGAAGAGGACCAGGGCACAAGGUUCCUCGGGAGGGCGAAUUGUGGCAUGAAGUGGAAACCCUGGGCCGUUUCUUGAAUCAUAUACUUCCAAGCUGAUGGAAGACAGGCACUGGGGAAGCAGCGAAACUGAAUGAUGGAGGGGAAGAGCUAUAGCUGCAAUGAGUGAAAUUUUGAAAGUUCCUCUGUACAGCGUGUUUCUCUAGAGACCUGGCUGUCUCCUCCUCUUCCUCAACAUGACAUUAAAGUUGAUAAACCGCAAAACUGGUUUUGGUCACAUCAAGUCAGCCAUUGGAGGCAGAAGAAGAAAAUACUAAGCCAUGCCUGCUGUCCUUCCAAGAAAUAAGUGCUGUACAAAUAAUUUUAGCCUGGCAUUGAAGGCUUGAUUCUAGAAAUCAAGUCCUUGCAGGAUGCUCAAAUGCUGCCUACAAAUGAAACGUCGAAAGAUCUCUUCCUAUGUAACAAACCACACUAUAAUGCCGGUGAGCAUGCCCUUAUGAGAGUAGAACUUACCUCUUCAUUUAUUAUUCAUGAACACAUUAUAGUGUCUUCAGAAAUAUAUUCUGCAGCAGGUAAUCUAGCAGGGAAAACAUAAAAUGCAUAUGUCCAAUUAUAAGAGACCUUGUAAAGAUCUUGUAGCAAUGUACUUCCUUAGCACUGGCAAAGUACUGUGUUAUAGAUUAAAACAACACAAACAUAUUACAGUUUGUAUAGUGUUUCACUUUUAUUGGAUGUAUGUUGCUAAGAAACAAAAUUGAAAUGUCUCUUUUGAACCUGAAGCCUCUUGGGAGUGUGGUAUUGCAUAUGUAGUAAAUGUUUUUCACUUUAGGAAGGAUUAAACUGUAGGCCAGGAGCAGCAGGGAGGGUUCAUUAGUAUUGCAUGUUUUCCAGUCUACUACCAAUGAACCUAACUAUUACAGUAGUAAAAGCUAUGUAAGGAGCUUCAGCUUGUUCUGGGAUGAAGUGUUGACAGCUGCUUGUUUGAAUAUUAAUAAAGUCUAUUGAGUUAUUC